UGUCCUGCUGGUGGCAGGGGCUGGGAGAAGAGAUGUGUCCUCCCCUGCUGCCCCCAGAGAGAGGGGCCAGCGGGGCUGGGGGUUUAGCCCAACUUUGAGGAAGAGCAGAUGGGAUUUACCGAGGCCGAGGGACGGCUGGGGGACCCAAGUGGCCGGGCAGGCUCUGCCACCAGCCAGCUGUGUGUGGAAUUUAUGUCGCCUCUCUGGGUCUCAGUUUCCUCAUCCGGCUUUGACAAAUUUUCAAGGACCUUCGUGGCUCUGAUUUUAGGACAAAUGCAACAUGCGUGUCCGGGAGCCAGCUUGGUGGUCACUUGGGUUGGGUGGGAGUUGGGGAGGGUUCCCUAGAUGGAUGUCAGAUUUCGGAGUAAUGUGGGGCAGAGGGGCAGGAUAAGACUUCUGGGUCAUCUCUAGGGGACUGGGUUAAAUCAUACCAUCAACUCAUUCAUUUGUUCAUUCAUUCACUAUUUAGUCAUCACAGGCUACAAGCCCAGGGCAGUGCUGGGCGCAGUGAACAAGACACGGUCCCUGACCUUGGCAAGGUUCCCAAUGUGAUGGGGGAGGGGCAAGCGCAGGGGGCUGGGGGCGCUGAGGAAUGGCCCCUAACCUGGGCUUUGGAGGUGAGAUGUGUCCUGAGGAAGCUGACAUCUAAGCUGGGACCCAAACAGUAAAUAGGGAAGGCCCGGGAGGAGGUGGGGAAGGGGAGCACCAGGAGGAGGAAGGGUCUAUGCAGAGGUGCGGGUGGGCACAAGCAGGGUUUGUGGAGGGACCGGGACAGGCCAGCAUCAUGGAAAGGAGGCCCAGUGGGAGGGGGUGAGUCAGAGGUGGGUUCAGGUUUCAUCGUGGGGCCAUGGGGGCCAUGGAGGGCUCUGAGCAGCAUCUCUCCGGGAAGGCACCUGGCCAAGAGCACUUCAGCGCCGUGGGUGUCUUUCUGAGACCCAGGUCUCGUAAGGCCCCACGUCUGGAAGUCCUGGAAGUGCACAGUUACGGCUGAAACAUGUGUGAUGCGGAGCUAGACUAUUUUAGGAUCUAGUGCUGAAAUGGAUAAAAGCUUUGGAGAGACGAGACAGACUUUGGCCCCAUCACAGAGUCUCGGUGCUGGAUCUGGGCGCCCUGGUGGGAGUCAUCUCCAAUCCAUGGACUCGCUGGAUGGCCAUCUGUCCAGCUCUGGAAGGAAGGGCGAUUGGGACGGGCAGACCUUCAUCUUGGAGUGAAGAGGCAGGAGCGCGCAUCACAGACAGAUCUGGUUUUCCGGUAUUGGCUCCAUCAUGCAUGAGCUGUGCAUCUUUGGGGCACUAGGGUGCAGAAUGCAUUCGUGUCUGGGGACCACUCGGAGAGGCUGCAAUCCGCAAGUAAUGAAAAGCAGCAUUUGCAUCCCGCGACAGCAGGUGCUUGGGUCACCGGGUUCUAGUGGGGCAGUUUCUCAUGAAUUGCUAAUUCACACAGCAACCGAGGAAUCUUGUUGGAAACGCCGAUUGGGUGUAACCUCAUGCUACAGAAGAUGAAACAGGGCCCAGAGAAAGCAAGCAACUUGCCAGAGGUCACACAGCACACUGGUGGAGUCCCGACCUGCACUGAAAGUCCCCGGCUCUGCCCAGUGCUCCUCCCACUGGGGGCCAGCCUUUGCUGACAGUGCCAUUAGGCACCUGUACUCUCCUGAUUCUUCAGCCAGGCAGGGCAUAAAUGUUUUUUUGCAUGACCUAGAGAGCAAAGGCUAGUUUAGCAAAACAAAACAAACAAACAAACAAACAAACAAACAAACAAAAAACCCCCCAGAUAAUUCCAAGUGAAUCCCAAUUGCAGGAGCAAUGCUUCCCUUCUUGAGACUUUCUGGAACCACUUCAGCUUCAAAUGCGUGUGAUAAUUACCUAAGGUUCUUAUCUUCUCCUUAGAGCUAGUCCCUUCUGCUCUGGGCUUGGCAAUCCUGGAGGCCAUUUCCGGAGACUACGCGUCGUCUCGAUACCUCCGAAGGUCUUUCAAAAAUGCGUCUUAUCCAGAUGUCCCCCAGGGCUCUUGGGCUAUUUGAUAUCAAUGAAGAUUUUUGUUCCUCUGCCCCCCUUGGGUGCUAGGCAGGGGAGCUGGGGGUGCAGAGGUCAGCGAUUUGCUUGGGCAGUCAGAACUGCCCUGAUUUCCAGCAGCUGCGGCUGGAGCAGGAUCCGGGGGGAUUCCCUGGAGAAGGGGGUUUGUACACCCACCACCUCACUGGGUUCUCCGUUACUCCUUCCAGUUCCACGCUGGGUCACCUUGACCCUGCUCGUUGCCCACAGUGAGGGUGGAGGCCUAGAAUCGGGUGACUUGAGAGGCUGGAUGGCCCAGUCCGACCACAUCAUGUAAGAGGACAGAGGCCCAGAAAGCACAAGCAGUUGGUUCAAGGUCACAUAGUGAGUGCGAGUCCAUGGUCACUAAGAGGUUAACAUCUCAGAGGCAGAGAAUCUGGGAAUAUUUGAGCCUAGAAGCCUCCCAGCUCCAGUGCACCCAGCACCCAGCAAGGGGAAGCCGCUUGCCCAAACCAGUGCCCGGUGUUCCCACUCUCGGCCCAACAGCUACUUCCAUUAAUGGUGGGCCAAGGAGGGGAUGUCACACCCGCCCCUCUCCCUACCCUGACGCUUGGGCUACUGGCUACACAGCUGCAGAAGUGUUACUUUUGCACGGGAAGGUGUGUCGGGAGAUGCCAAGGCUGUCCUCACACCUGCUUGAGGCCUUGAGCAAGACAGCCUACAACCCUUAUCCCUCCCAGUGAUGCUGAUUUUAUGCCAACAGCCCAGACUGUCAUCCUGCCCUGCCUGGGGUCGUGGUGGCCAGGGUGCUGGUGACUGCCCCACUGGGUUCCUCCCCAGAGGGUGAUUCUAAAGCAGAACAGUCAGCCAAGCAGCAGACAGGACUUUAUAUGAAGUCUCCGGCCCCUUCCCGUCCCUUGGGGAUGGAUCACCGGGUUCCCGGAGCCUCAGAGCAGGACCCGUGUGGAGAGAGCCCCUCCUGGGAGAUUUUGCGGGGUAGCAGGAGGGCAGGGCAGGGCUCCGCAUCCAGGGUGCAGGCUGUGCGGGGGGCAGGGCAUCACAUGCUGUCGGGCCUGCCUCUUCUCUACGUGGAGGGCGUCCUGCUGGAGCCGCUCUCCCCCUCAGUCCCUGCUGGCUGAAGACCGGGCAUUUCUUGAGUCUUCGUGAGGCUGGGACGCGUGCCAGAGCCCACAGCCCUUCCACAGGUCAGUUUGCACCGCGGGGACCUCCAGAUCUCCCUGCAGGGGGGCGACAUCUGUGGGGGCUUUGUGCCAGGGCCCUGGGGCCCAAGGGACCACUUGGUGAAGAGACGUUAAGGCCUUGGAGAGCGGGGGUGUGCGGGUUCAGACUGAGGUCCCAAGCCGCUGGAUUUCCAGAGGAGUCUUCAGGGCAGAGACGGCUGGGUGCCAGCCCCCAGGGAAGCUGAGGCUGUGCCUGUCACCAGGGGGUGUUACAGGAGGGCCUGAGAGAGGGAAGCCCCCAGGGGCUCUCUGCUGUACAAUUCAAGGGUCCUUCAUCUCUGAAUAAAUUGCCCUCCCAGCUGAAGCGGCUGCCCCCAGAUGUGCUGCAGCCGGGUGCUGGUUCUGUUGCAAAGAGGCCCCCCAGGACCCCAGAAUGCAGCCGAGGCAGGGGCCGCUUGAGCCCCUCAGAGUAAGCAGCGUUCGCCUUGCACAAUUCCUGAAAGUGGGCAAAUUAUUUCAGGUGUUGCCUGGUUUCUCCAGCGGCUUUGCGACCAUGUCUCUUCUUUUUGGACUAUUUUUGCCCAGACUGAAGCUUAGUUUUAACAUCUCAGCUUGCAGGGUGUCUCCCCGACCCCCCCGGUCCUCCCCGCCUCCUCUUCUUAAACAGAGUCUGCGAACUAAAAUAUACUAAGGGCUUCCAAAGGCCCCCGAGUGACUCUGUAACAUGUUGGGAAGGGUGGCUCUCCAGUUGGUUUGUAAGUGGGGUUUCGGGGGGCCGGACCAUCAGGGUGGAGACGAGGCAGCAGGUGGAGGUGGUCUCCUGCGCCCAGACGCAAGCUCGCAGGUCUGGUUACUAGCAGUCUUGGGGUUUGCUCAUCCACCCUUUUAUUUGAGGGGGGCUUUACCCACGGGACCCUCCUCCAGAGAGAACUUGGGUCCAAACUGUAUGUUCUCUCUCCCCGCCCCUCGGCCGCCUGGACGUCCUGCUGAGAGGAACCUUUGGAGCUUCUAGAGAUCUAGUCCAACUCCUUCACCUCACGCACUAAUUUUACAGAUUAAGGAUACCUUAUGAAUCUCACAGAAGGAUGUUCGGAGGAAUAAAUGAACCACUGAGGACUCUGUUGGGCUAAGACUCUCUCCUGGCCCAAGGAUGGAUCACCGCCACCAUCUCAGUGAAGGACGGAGUCGGCCGCCUGCCCACUCACCUUCAGGAGCAGCGUACUUGUCGCGGCCCGGGGACGUGGUCUCGCCAAAGGGUGCCGUGGGGCUUUCCUCCACAUCUACGACACACGAAGCCAGUGAGGCCCGAGCUCCCCGGCCCUCCCUUUCUUUCCUCUUGUUCCCCCAAAGAGAGGGAGGGUCCGAGUUCAUGUGAGCUGGGGGGCGGGCUGCGAGAGCGAGGUCGGGGUCUGCACUCCUGCUUACGAGGGCCUUCAUCUGCCAAAGAUUGAACGCCAUGGCUCCACCAGAAGAGUCAGGUAGGCCUGGGUUCGAAUCCCGACUCCCCCAUCCACCAGCGGCUGUGUGACCCCGGGAAAGUGACCCCCUUUAUAAGUUUAGAUUGGAAACCGGGGAUACGAGUAGGUCUCUCACAGGGUCGUUGUAGGGUUAGGGGAGAUCAUGCACACAGAGUACUUAGUGCCUGGCCCGAUGUCAGUGCUCCCCAAGGCCCUGAGCUGCAGAGCCAGCUGGGAUGUGGGAGCAGGUCAGGGGCCAGAGGGUGCGGGGAGAGGCGGGCAUCAGCUCACUAGGUCUGUGCCUCACUGAGGGGCUCGUGCCAGCUCUCCGGGAGCCACCGUAACACGGCACCGACGUGUCAGAGGGCUCUGAGCAAACUGACUGCACAUGGUUUGUUCAACGUGCAGAAUUGGGGUGAUCAUCCUCACGAUUAUCACUUCCAGGGCUAGGCCCUGAUGGGCAAUAUACCACAAGGGAAGAGUGCAAAAUAUGGAAAAGGCUUCCUGCGCAAAUGUUGAUCGAAGCCUUCGUCUCCCCCGAGACUAUCAGUGGCUCUGUGACGGCCCAGAAGCUCUGUUUGUCGCCGGGGGCUGGGGCACAGGGCCACCGCGAAUUAGGGACUGAACGCAGAGCCACUGAGGCAGCCGGGAGGCCAGUAGUGAACCUCAUGGGCUCUGGAGCCAGGCACGGCCCCGGGUUCAGGUCUUGGCUCUACCGCGUAUCUGCUGUGUGACAGUGAGUUAAGUCACUUAACACCUCUCUGGGCCUCGCUUUCCUCAUCCACUGUGUCAGAUGGUUGUGAGGAGUCACGGAUGAUUGGAACAGCGCCCAGCACAGAGAAAACCCACAGGACGUGUUAGCUCUUAUCAUCCUUGGGGACCGAAAAGGCUUGGGAUAGAAUAAGAGUUUAGAAAUCACACACACUUGGGUGUGAAUCAGAGGUCAGUUGAAAAGAAAGGAUUUGGGGCGCUUGGGUGACUCAGUCAGUUAAGGGUCUGACUGUUGGUUUUGGGUCUGGUCAUGAUCUCAGAGUCGUGGGAUGAGGCUCUGGCUUAGUGGGGAGUCUGCUCAGGAUUCUCAUUCUCUCCUUCUGCCCCUCCCCACCCUGAAAAUAAAUAAAUCAAUCUUUAAAAACAUUGGGAUUUGUGAUUUUGAUGGAAGCCAUGGGCCACCAAGAACUGAGCCAUGCAGAAAUGAAAAGGGAGACAGAAAUUUCUUCCAGACUGGAAGCCCAGCUUGGCUCAGGGGUUCCAGCAGUAGCCUUCCCCGCCUCAGUCUGGGAGGCUCUGAGGGACCAAAGAAGUGGCUGUGCUUUUAAAUUCUGGACUCACACGUUCUUCUACCCCUCACACACUUCUUUACCCCAUCGAUGUCUGUGAGA